UUGGACUUUUCUUCAUUGGAAGAUUUUUGAUUACUGAUUAAUCCUCCUAACUAGUUAUUGGUCUAUUCAGCCCUUUUAUUUCUUCCUGUCUCAGUCUUGCUAGGUAAAGUAUAAACCAGAAGCUUCUGGAAGCCAGAUCUACUCGUCAGAAAAGCCUGUCUGAACAAAUGCAGUCCACUUGCUGAGAGAGGUGGAAAAGAAACCUAAAGAGGGAAAUGCCCAACAGGCUCUGCAGUUUCUCCCUCUAAAGGUGGAUAUAUUCCAGCACCACCCACGACCUCCUCUGACUGUGAACUUGGCCACAUGACUUAUUUUGGCCAUUGUUUGCUAAUAGACUCCCCACAAGCAGAAACUUGAAGAGGGCUCACAUGGUAAGGUUUGCUCUCUUGUACUCUGCCCUUGCCCCAAGAAGAACCCAUUCCUGCUGGUCCCAGGAGGAUAUGAGACAUGCUGAGCAGGGCUGCCCCAGGGGAC